GAGUUUGAUCCUGGCUCAGGAUUAACGCUAGCGGUAGGCCUAACACAUGCAAGUCGAGGGGUAACGAUGGUAGCUUGCUACCAGGCGACGACCGGCGAACGGGUGAGUAUCGCGUAUGUAAUCUGCCCUUAACUAGAAAAUAGCCCGGAGAAACCCGGAUUAAUAUUCUAUAAUAAUAUAAUGAGGCAUCUCUUUGUAUUUAAAGCUCCGGCGGUUAAGGAUGGGCAUGCGUACCAUUAGUUUGUUGGUGAGGUAACGGCUCACCAAGACUACAAUGAUUAGGGGGUCUGAGAGGAUGAUCCCCCACACUGGUACUGAGACACGGACCAGACUCCUACGGGAGGCAGCAGUGAGGAAUAUUGCGCAAUGGAGGAAACUCUGACGCAGCCAUACCGCGUGCAGGAUGACAGUCCUACGGAUUGUAAACUGCUUUUAUAUGGGAAGAAACCCUGGAACGUGUUCCAGGCUGACGGUACCAUAAGAAUAAGGACCGGCUAACUCCGUGCCAGCAGCCGCGGUAAUACGGAGGGUCCAAGCGUUAUCCGGAUUUAUUGGGUUUAAAGGGUCCGCAGGCGGGAUUCUAAGUCAGUGGUGAAAUCCUACAGCUCAACUGUAGAACUGCCAUUGAUACUGGUAUCCUUGAGUGUAGUUGAAGUAAGUGGAACGUGUUAAGUAGCGGUGAAAUGCAUAGAUAUAACACGGAACACCAAAAGCGAAGGCAGCUUACUAAACUAUCACUGACGCUCAUGGACGAAAGCGUGGGGAGCGAACGGGAUUAGAUACCCUGGUAGUCCACGCCGUAAACGAUGAUCACUAGCUAUUGGCGACAUAAUGUCAGUGGCAAAGCGAAAGUUUUAAGUGAUCCACCUGGGGAGUACGUUCGCAAGAAUGAAACUCAAAGGAAUUGACGGGGGCCCGCACAAGCGGUGGAGCAUGUGGUUUAAUUCGAUGAUACGCGAGGAACCUUACCAGGGCUUAAAUGCAACAUGAAAGAUUGGGAAACCAAUUUAUAGUUACGUGUUGCAAGGUGCUGCAUGGUUGUCGUCAGCUCGUGCCGUGAGGUGUCGGGUUAAGUCCCAUAACGAGCGCAACCCUCGUCCUUAGUUGCCAGCGAGUAAUGUCGGGGACUCUAAGGAGACUGCCAGCGUAAGCUGAGAGGAAGGUGGGGAUGACGUCAAAUCAUCACGGCCCUUAUGUCCUGGGCUACACACGUGCUACAAUGGUCAAUACAAUGGGAUGCCAUCUAGUGAUAGAGAGCUAAUCUCAAAAGUUGAUCUCAGUUCGGAUUGAAGUCUGCAACUCGACUUCAUGAAGCUGGAAUCGCUAGUAAUCGGAAAUCAGCAACGUUCCGGUGAAUACGUUCCCGGGCCUUGUACUCACCGCCCGUC
rnacentral:rRNA from 1 species